AUACGGAGGGAGCAAGCGUUAUUCGGAAUCACUGGGCGUAAAGGACGCGUAGGCGGGUUUGUAAGUCAGGUGUGAAAUCCUACAGCUCAACUGUAGAACUGCACUUGAAACUACAGACCUAGAGUAUGGAAGGGGCAGAUGGAAUUAGUGGUGUAGGGGUAAAAUCCGUAGAUAUCACUAGGAAUACCGAAAGCGAAGGCGAUCUGCUGGGACAUUACUGACGCUGAGGCGUGAAAGCGUGGGGAGCAAACAGAAUUAGAAACCCUUGUAGUCC
rnacentral:rRNA from 1 species